UACGGGGGGGGGCAAGCGUUGUUCGGAAUUACUGGGCGUAAAGGGCUCGUAGGCGGCCAACUAAGUCGGACGUGAAAUCCCCCAGGCUCAACCUGGGAACUGCGUCUGAUACUGGAUGGCUUGAAUCCGGGAGAGGGAUGCAGAAUUCCAGGUGUAGCGGUGAAAUGCGUAGAUAUCUGGAGGAAUACCGGUGGCGAAGGCGGCAUCCUGGACCGGCAUUGACGCUGAGGAGCGAAAGCCAGGGGAGCAAACGGG
rnacentral:rRNA from 1 species